rnacentral:rRNA from 1 species
UGCCCUAGUAACGGCGAGUGAAGCGGCAACAGCUCAAAUUUGAAAUCUGGCUCUAGGGCCCGAGUUGUAAUUUGUAGAGGAUGCUUUUGGCACGGUGCCUUCUGAGUUCCCUGGAAUGGGACGCCAUAGAGGGUGAGAGCCCCGUAUAGUUGGACACCUAGCCUCUGUAAAGCUCCUUCGACGAGUCGAGUAGUUUGGGAAUGCUGCUCAAAAUGGGAGGUAAAUUUCUUCUAAAGCUAAAUACCGGCCAGAGACCGAUAGCGCACAAGUAGAGUGAUCGAAAGAUGAAAAGCACUUUGAAAAGAGGGUUAAAAAGUACGUGAAAUUGUUGAAAGGGAAGCGCUUGUGACCAGACUUGCGCCCGGUGAAUCAUCCAGCGUUCUCGCUGGUGCACUUUGCCGGGUUCAGGCCAGCAUCGGUUUCUCGUGGGGGAUAAAAGCGGUGGGAACGUGGCUCCCUCGGGAGUGUUAUAGCCCGCCGCAGAAUACCCCUCGGGGGACCGAGGAUCGCGCUCUGCAAGGAUGCUGGCGUAAUGGUCACCAGCGACCCGUCUUGAAACACGGACCAAGGAGUCGAGCAUUAGGGCGAGUGUUUGGGUGCAAAACCCGCACGCGUAAUGAAAGUGAACGUAGGUGAGAGCUUCGGCGCAUCAUCGACCGAUCCUGAUGUAUUCGGAUGGAUUUGAGUAAGAGCCUUAAUAUUCGGACCCGAAAGUUGAUGAACUAUGCCUGAAUAGGGUGAAGCCAGAGGAAACUCUGGUGGAGGCUCGCAGCGGUUCUGACGUGCAAAUCGAUCGUCAAAUUUGGGCAUGGGG